rnacentral:rRNA from 1 species
UAGGGAAUCUUCCACAAUGGACGCAAGUCUGAUGGAGCAACGCCGCGUGAGUGAAGAAGGUCUUCGGGUCGUAAACUCUGUUGUUAGAGAAGAACACGAGUGAGAGUAACUGUUCAUUCGAUGACGGUAUCUAACCAGCAAGUCACGGCUAACUACGUGCCG